CUUUUCGAGGUAGGAGUCGACUCCUGUGAGGUAUGGUGCUGGGUGCAGAUGCAGUGUGGCUCUGGAUAGCACCUUAUGGACAGUUGUGUCCCCAAGGAAGGAUGAGAAUAGCUACUGAACUCCUGGUAACGUUUUUAUCCAUGGAUGACUUGCUUGGGUAAGGACAUGAAGACAGUUCCUGUCAUACCUUUUAAAGGUAUGGAGAGUCGGCUUGACUACACUGUGUGGAGCAAGUUUUAAAGAAGCAAAGGACUCAGAAUUCAUGAUUGAAGAAAUGCAGGCAGACCUGUUAUCCUAAACUAGGGUUUUUAAUGACCACAACAAGCAAGCAUGCAGCUUACUGCUUGAAAGGGUCUUGCCUCACCCAAGCUAGAGUGCAGUGGCCUUUGAAGCUUACUACAGCCUCAAACUUCUGGGCUCAAGUGAUCCUCAGCCUCCCAGUGGUCUUUGUAGACUGCCUGAUGGAGUCUCAUGGCACAAGAAGAUUAAAACAGUGUCUCCAAUUUUAAUAAAUUUUUGCAAUCCAU
rnacentral:lncRNA from 1 species